UUUCACGGGAACGAAGAUUUUGCAAGUAGGUUGUAGUUAUUAGAUCAUCAAUGAAGUAAUUUUAAAAAUAAGACGUCAAGGUCGAAACUAGCUCUAGCUCAUAAUGGAGAAAAUGUGAACCGUCUUAAAGCAAGAAGGUCUCCUCAUGUACCCGAAUUUCUGUUUGUGGACAUAUGUUGUUGGCGGAUAAAGUCGCACUGACUUAAAGCAAUGUAGGGUCUACAGAGAAAUGACGAUUUAAGUGUUCGAGGGCGAAGAGGAUAUUGUUUUUUCCAAACAAUUGCACAAACCACCACUGGACUGGAGAGAUUGACCUGUUAGUAACUACUGGAAAAGUGUCAACGUUUAUGAAUCGACAUGUCCAACACUUGCAAGAGUAAUUUCGGCAGUGUUUGUGAAAAUAAUUUCAUCUUUUUUUAAAUUAAAAUCAUAAUUCGCUGCUGUCCGAUAAUUCAACCUUGCAGUGAUUUACAGUUCAGUUGCUUGCCAUACAACUAUUGUCAGCCAAAUUAUUGCACAGAGAGGAACCAUAUCCUGUAUUUCGGAACAGAAAAAGAACUUAAAAUAUUUACUGAAAAAGUGAUAAUUGUUAAAGCCCGUUAAAUACAUGUGUACAUCAAAUUAAUUUUAUUACGAAAAUAGAAAAUAGAAAUUUGUGCACUCAGAAAUGUGCAUAGCAAAUCGUGAUGUUAUCAGAACUUUUCAUUGUUAAAAGACAAAUUUUUUAAUGGUCUGAAAUCAGAAAGUGGCAUUGGCGAUAACUUGAAAUACAAUUUUAGAUUUUGUAUUUACUUUAAGAGGAAUUUCAAUAUAUGUUUUUUUGUGAUAUCAAUAAUAAAUUUAUGUAGAAAAUACACAAA